rnacentral:rRNA from 1 species
UACGAAGGGGGCUAGCGUUGUUCGGAAUCACUGGGCGUAAAGCGCACGUAGGCGGAUCUUUAAGUCAGAGGUGAAAUCCCAAGGCUCAACCUUGGAACUGCCUUUGAUACUGGGGAUCUUGAGUCCGGGAGAGGUGAGUGGAACUGCGAGUGUAGAGGUGAAAUUCGUAGAUAUUCGCAAGAACACCAGUGGCGAAGGCGGCUCACUGGCCCGGUACUGACGCUGAGACGCGAAAGCGUGGGGAGCAAACGGG